UGUAAGCGUAUACCAAAGUUGUUGCAGUUAAAACGCUCGUAGUCGGAAUUUGGCAGUUCCGGAUGUGUGCACGUCGUGUGCGCACUUCGCGGGGAUUGCUUUUGUGGUCUUGCGUAGGAUGAGGCACUUUUAUUAGUGAACGUCCUCACGCAACCACUUUUUACUGUGAGAAAAUCAGAGUGCUCAAAGCAGGCAUUUGCCGUGAAUGUAUUAGCAUGGAAUAAUAGAAUAGGACUUGGUUCUAUUUUGUUGGUUUGUUGGGACUGAGUAAUGAUUAAGAGGGACAGUUGGGGGCAUUUGUAUUUCGGUGCUAGAGGUGAAGUUCUUAGAUUACCGAAAGACAAACUGCUGCGAAAGCGUCUGCCAAGGAUGUUUUCAUUGA
rnacentral:rRNA from 1 species